CCGGCGCACGGGUGAGUAACACGUAUGCAAUCCACCUGUAACAGGGGGAGUAACCCGGAGAAAUCCGACUAAUACCCAUAAUAUGGGCGCUCCGCAUGGAGAGUUCAUUAAAGAGAGCAAUUUUGGUUACAGACGAGCAUGCGCUCCAUUAGCCAGUUGGCGGGGUAACGGCCCACCAAGGCGACGAUGGAUAGGGGUUCUGAGAGGAAGGUCCCCCACAUUGGAACUGAGACACGGUCCAA
rnacentral:rRNA from 1 species